rnacentral:rRNA from 1 species
GAUGAACGCUGGCGACGUGCCUAAUACAUGCAAGUCGAGCGAAUGGAUUAAGAGCUUGCUCUUAUGAAGUUAGCGGCGGACGGGUGAGUAACACGUGGGUAACCUGCCCAUAAGACUGGGAUAACUCCGGGAAACCGGGGCUAAUACCGGAUAACAUUUUGAACCGCAUGGUUCGAAAUUGAAAGGCGGUUUCGGCUGUCACUUAUGGAUGGACCCGCGUCGCAUUAGCUAGUUGGGGAGGUAACGGCUCACCAAGGCAACGAUGCGUAGCCGACCUGGGGGGGUGAUCGGCCACACUGGGACUGAGACACGGCCCAGACUCCUACGGGAGGCAGCAGUAGGGAAUCUUCCGAAAUGGACGAAAGUCUGACGGAGCAACGCCGCGUGAGUGAUGAAGGCUUUCGGGUCGUAAAACUCUGUUGUUAGGGAAGAACAAGUGCUAGUUGAAUAAGCUGGCACCUUGACGGUACCUAACCAGAAAGCCACGGCUAACUACGUGCCAGCAGCCGCCGUAA